GACGAACGCUGGCGGCGUGCCUAAUACAUGCAAGUCGAGCGGGCCUCCGGAGGUGCUUGCACCUCCGGAAGGCCAGCGGCGGACGGGUGAGUAACACGUGGGCAACCUGCCUUUGAGGCCGGGAUAACACCGGGAAUCCGGUGCUAAUACCGGAUACGUCCUCUUUCGCGCCUGCGAGAGGGGAGAAAGACGGUCUUUAAGGCCGUCGCUCAAAGAGGGGCCCGCGGCGCAUUAGCUGGUUGGUGGGGUAAGGGCCUACCAAGGCGACGAUGCGUUGCCGACCUGAGAGGGUGAUCGGCCACACUGGGACUGAGACACGGCCCAGACUCCUGCGGGAGGCAGCAGUAGGGAAUCAUCCGCAAUGGGCGAAAGCCUGACGGUGCAACGCCGCGCGAGUGAGGAAGGUUUUCGGAUCGUAAAGCUCUGUUGUGAGGGAAGAACAGCUUCCGGAGGAAAUGCCGGAGGUUUGCCGGUACCUCACCAGAAAGCCCCGGCUAACUACGUGCCAGCCGCCGCAGUAA
rnacentral:rRNA from 1 species